GUGGGGAAUAUUGGGCAAUGGGGGAAACCCUGACCCAGCGACGCCGCGUGAGGGAAGAAGGCCUUAGGGUCGUAAACCUCUGUUGUGUGGGAAGAAGAGCGUGACGGUACCACACGAGGAAGUCCCGGCUAACUACGUGCCAGCAGCCGCGGUAAUACGUAGGGGACGAGCGUUGUCCGGAUUUACUGGGCGUAAAGGGCGCGUAGGCGGUCAUUUAAGUCAGCUGUGAAAUGGUUUGGCUUAACCGGAUCAUGCGGUUGAAACUGGAUGACUGGAGUGCUGGAGAGGCAAGUGGAAUUCCCAGUGUAGCGGUGAAAUGCGUAGAUAUUGGGAAGAACACCGGUGGCGAAGGCGACUUGCUGGCCAGCAACUGACGCUGAGGCGCGAAAGCCAGGGGAGCAAACGGGAUUAGAAACCCGUGUAGUCC
rnacentral:rRNA from 1 species